rnacentral:rRNA from 1 species
CCCUGUGGGGGGGGUGCCCAAUACAUGCAAGUCGAACGAACUCUGGUAUUGAUUGGUGCUUGCAUCAUGAUUUACAUUUGAGUGAGUGGCGAACUGGUGAGUAACACGUGGGAAACCUGCCCAGAAGCGGGGGAUAACACCUGGAAACAGAUGCUAAUACCGCAUAACAACUUGGACCGCAUGGUCCGAGUUUGAAAGAUGGCUUCGGCUAUCACUUUUGGAUGGUCCCGCGGCGUAUUAGCUAGAUGGUGGGGUAACGGCUCACCAUGGCAAUGAUACGUAGCCGACCUGAGAGGGUAAUCGGCCACAUUGGGACUGAGACACGGCCCAAACUCCUACGGGAGGCAGCAGUAGGGAAUCUUCCACAAUGGACGAAAGUCUGAUGGAGCAACGCCGCGUGAGUGAAGAAGGGUUUCGGCUCGUAAAACUCUGUUGUUAAAGAAGAACAUAUCUGAGAGUAACUGUUCAGGUAUUGACGGUAUUUAACCAGAAAGCCACGGCUAACUACGUGCCAGCAGCCGCGGUAAUACGUAGGUGGCAAGCGUUGUCCGGAUUUAUUGGGCGUAAAGCGAGCGCAGGCGGUUUUUUAAGUCUGAUGUGAAAGCCUUCGGCUCAACCGAAGAAGUGCAUCGGAAACUGGGAAACUUGAGUGCAGAAGAGGACAGUGGAACUCCAUGUGUAGCGGUGAAAUGCGUAGAUAUAUGGAAGAACACCAGUGGCGAAGGCGGCUGUCUGGUCUGUAACUGACGCUGAGGCUCGAAAGUAUGGGUAGCAAACAGGAUUAGAUACCCUGGUAGUCCAUACCGUAAACGAUGAAUGCUAAGUGUUGGAGGGUUUCCGCCCUUCAGUGCUGCAGCUAACGCAUUAAGCAUUCCGCCUGGGGAGUACGGCCGCAAGGCUGAAACUCAAAGGAAUUGACGGGGGCCCGCACAAGCGGUGGAGCAUGUGGUUUAAUUCGAAGCUACGCGAAGAACCUUACCAGGUCUUGACAUACUAUGCAAAUCUAAGAGAUUAGACGUUCCCUUCGGGGACAUGGAUACAGGUGGUGCAUGGUUGUCGUCAGCUCGUGUCGUGAGAUGUUGGGUUAAGUCCCGCAACGAGCGCAACCCUUAUUAUCAGUUGCCAGCAUUAAGUUGGGCACUCUGGUGAGACUGCCGGUGACAAACCGGAGGAAGGUGGGGAUGACGUCAAAUCAUCAUGCCCCUUAUGACCUGGGCUACACACGUGCUACAAUGGAUGGUACAACGAGUUGCGAACUCGCGAGAGUAAGCUAAUCUCUUAAAGCCAUUCUCAGUUCGGAUUGUAGGCUGCAACUCGCCUACAUGAAGUCGGAAUCGCUAGUAAUCGCGGAUCAGCAUGCCGCGGUGAAUACGUUCCCGGGCCUUGUACACACCGCCCGUCACACCAUGAGAGUUUGUAACACCCAAAGUCGGUGGGGUAACCUUUUACGAACCAGCCGCCCAAAAGGUGACCCCU